UACAGAGGUGGCAAGCGUUGUUCGGAAUUACUGGGCGUAAAGCGUGCGCAGGCGGUUUUGUAAGUCUGUCGUGAAAUCCCCGGGCUCAACCUGGGAAAUUGCGAUGGAGACUGCAAGGCUAGAAUCUGGCAGAGGGGGGUAGAAUUCCACGUGUGAGCAGUUGAAAUGCGUAGAGAUGUGGAGGAACACCGAUGGCGAAGGCAGCCCCCUGGGUCAAGAUUGACGCUCAUGCACGAAAGCGUGGGGAGCAAACAGG
rnacentral:rRNA from 1 species